GCCUGUGGUGCAGUGGGUCAGUGCAUCUGGCUGUUAACCAGGAGGCUGGUGCUUUGAGCUCACCCAGGGACU